UCUUCUUCGUGAAGACGGUGGUGCUACUGUUCAUCUUUUUUUUUUUGCAGAAUUUUAUAAAAUUUAUAUCGUUGGAAAGGUCUUGAUGAGUAGAUUCCAAAUAUCAUAAAAGCUAAGCCUAAUUCUCAACAUAUUUUCUGGAUCGAAGGAAAUAAGUUUCUAGAUCUAAACUUUAAUUCAACAUAACUUCUUCAUUUUUCAUCCA
rnacentral:lncRNA from 1 species